rnacentral:rRNA from 1 species
CCUACGGGAGGCAGCAGUGAGGAAUAUUGGUCAAUGGGCGCGAGCCUGAACCAGCCAAGCCGCGUGAGGGAGGAAGGUUCUAUGUAUCGUAAACCUCUUUUAUAAGGGAAUAAAGUGUGGGACGUGUCCUAUUUUGUAUGUACCUUAUGAAUAAGCAUCGGCUAACUCCGUGCCAGCAGCCGCGGUAAUACGGAGGAUCCGAGCGUUAUCCGGAUUUAUUGGGUUUAAAGGGUGCGUAGGCGGCCUGUUAAGUCAGCGGUGAAAGUCUGUGGCUCAACCAUAGAAUUGCCGUUGAAACUGGGAGGCUCGAGUAUGUUUGAGGCAGGCGGAAUGCGCGGUGUAGCGGUGAAAUGCUUAGAUAUCACGCAGAACCCCGAUUGCGAAGGCAGCAUGCCAGGCCAUGACUGACGCUGAUGCACGAAAGCGUGGGGAUCAAACAGGAUUAGAUACCCCAGUAGUC